ACUAUUAAAAUUUGUAUAAAAGCUUGCAUACAUAUUUAUUUUGUUGAAAAUAUAAUUGGAUAUGUCACAUCCCGGAUCGGGUCUACUGUAGCACGAUAUUGUCCACUUUGGGCCCCCUGCACUCAUGGUUUUGUUUCUGGGAACUCACGAGCAACUUCCCAGUGGGUCACCCAUCCUGGGAUUGCUCUAGCCCCAACUCGCUUAACUUUGGAGUUCUCAUGACUCCGAAGCUAGUGAGCUCCCAAAAGGCCUCGUGUUAGAUGGAGGUUGGCAUGUACAUAUAAGGCACAUCACCCCCUCUCCGUUAAUCGAUGUGGGAUGUUACAUAAUACAUGACUAAUUUAUCCCCUAUUUUGUAUGUCAUAUUGGGUUUUAAUGGCUUUUGGGCCUCAACAUUAGUCCUCUUGAUUUUUGGGGCAAUAAAGUGACAAUGAGAUGGGCCAAAUAAUCAAUUAAACAUGCCCAAAAACUGGUGUGCGAAGUGGCAUAGUACUCCGUCUUUGCAACAACAUGUCUCCUUUCGUCAUGGUAAGGCAACGCAUGAGUUUAGCCUAGCAUGGGAUUGUUUUUUUGUUUGACAUGAUUAAUUUUCUUAGCUUGUUUUUCUUGAAAGAAUUGCACUAACUUUGUUUUGUUUUGGGCAUAGAUAAUCUUGAUAGUUCAUAAUUGUUUGGAGCUAGCUUAUGAGAUAGAUUUAGGCAUGGCGUGUUAUUGAUAUGCUUAAGUGUUUUGACUGCAAUGAUUGGGCAUGGUAUGAGUGAUCCAAAACUUCUAGUUGAUAGAACUAUGAAUUCCUAGUUUAAAGGAAUAAGGGAACGAGAGGAAUUUUAAGACAAUUAGAGAAACAAAAGGAAGAAGCAAAGGAAUUGCUUUGAGUUUUGCUUUCA
rnacentral:lncRNA from 1 species